GGAUCCAGGCCUGGAUCACACAUCUAUUCUGGGAAUAUAGUUGUGUGAGGGAAGAACUCUGUCAGAAUCAUCUCAGUUACGUAGAGUAAAUAGUUUUAUAACUGGGUGGAGAAAAGCAGGUUCCACCAAAGGCAGGUUACCUGAGUUGACAUAGACACUUAUCCGCUGUACCCUACACCUCUCAACUGUUUUCACAUGAUCAUAAUCAUAGAAAAUAUUGUGGAAAAUGGAUAAAGCUACUUAUACCCAGCUUUUUCAGUCAACACAGUCCCUACCAGUGAUCUUGGAGCACUAAAUGGAUCAAUUUUCCAUUUACAAAUGUAACCCAUUUGUGAUAUACCAAUGUUAGGAAGAAUGUUACUAUAAGCACUUAAGUAUUUUGGACUUUAUUUAAGAGAAAUAGGAAGGUAUUUAAGGUAACUUGGACUCUAAAAAGAAACCUGGGCUCCUUGUAGAAGUGGCUGAUUCCAGGUGUGGGGCAAAACGAGCCUACAUCUAGUGCCAGAAAGCAAGGGAGUUUAUUAAAGAAGUCUUGCCAAAGGGACACAGGAGUCAAAUAAAGGGACUUCUAGUAGCCAAAAAUGGGGCAAUUAAAGCACUGAAAAGAAUAUCUGCAGUUGAUUUAAACACAUCAACUGUGUGGAAAAUCUAUGAGUUCAAAAUGAUACUAAAAAUAAGAUCACUGGCCACCUUUGGAGGUUGCUAGGGUUUUAGCUCUUUAUUCUAAAAAACAGAAAAUAAGGAGGAAGGGUAUAUAGCUCAGUAGCUAUGGUAGUGUGUGUGCUUAGCAUGCAUGAGGUCCUGGGUUCAAUCCCCAUUACCCUCAUUAAACAAACAAACCUAAUUACCUCCCACUACCCCACAAGAAAAACCCAUUAAAAACCAGAAAAUAAAGACUCAAGCAUCUCUUCUGCCUAUCUAAAUUUCAGGGUAGUCAAAUAUUGAUGAGGUAAAGUUAUUUUCUAUAGUAUAAUCCAAACUACUAAAUACAAAAGGAUUAAUAGAAUUAGAAAAAUUCCCAUUUAGCAACCGUUAGUGAAAUAAUAGAUAGGGACAAGAAUCGUCAGUGAAUGGCAAAAAUACUAGGUGGAAGAUUAAUGAGGAACUUUCUAAAGAAUGGAUGAGGCUAACAACACUUGAACCCACUGUUCAUUCUUAACAUCAUUAAAAAUGGGUAAGUGGUAUGUGCCUCCUGAUUUGAUGCAGCAGGAAGUACUCAGUACAGCCUAUGAAAGUGUUCCUGCCAGAAAAAAAAAAAAAAAAAAAAAAAAAGAACCAGAAUCUAAUCAAGCCUAUAGAUGUAAACUAUCAGUUUACAGGAAAUACAAAAGAUAAGUAAAUGCCACCACUAGUAAGUAAUCAUCUAAGCCCAGAAGGUGAUACAUUCUAUAGACAAAUGGUUCAGUUUCUUAAAGUUAAACAAAAAAUUGGCAUAGAAAAAAUAAAAGUUGAGAGAUCAGAAGUCAUAGAUGAAAAGAAACUUCAGAGAUACGUAAAUCAAAUGCAUUACAGAGAUCUUAUUUUUGAUCUUGUUUUAAGUCAAAUGUAAGAAUACUUCUGAGGCAAUUGGAGAAAUUUGAAACUAGACAACAUUAGAUGAUAUUAAGGAAUUGUUAAUUCUGAGAUGUGUUAUAGUUAUACUUUUUUAGGUCUUUAUCUGUUAAAGAUAUUAAAAAAUUUAUGAUAGAAAUUAUAUGAUAUCUGGAAUUUGCCUCAAAAUACUCCAGUGGGGGAAGGAUGUCAGUAGGAUAGAUGAAACAAGAUUGGCAAAAUAUUUGCUGAAGUUGAGUGGGAGCUACGUGGAGGCUCCUUAUAUUGUUAUAUCUGUACUUUUUUGUGUUUUUAAAUUUCCACAAUUAAUUUAAAGUAAGUUAAUAAUAUAAUCAGCUUUGUCUUUUAGAAUAAGCUGGCCGCAGUGUGAAGUAUAAAUUGGAGUGGAUGUGGAGGACAUUUAUCAUGUUUGUAGCCACUCUUCCCAAAGACCCUUCCACAUUUGAGAACUUCUCAUGUUGACCUUCUCCUCUUAGAUAGAAGCCAAAAUGCAUUCACUCUCUCUCUCUCAUCUACCCUUGCAGCCAGGGCAUGAAUUUGUGUUUCUGGCUCUGCCAGUACCUGCCUCCAGUGUGAGACUUGCUAAGGAGUGGAGCAAAAGUGAGCAACAUGAGCAAAAUUGAUUUUGGCGAGGGAGCAAGGUCAGUGGCUUAAAUUUUGGAGAAAGCAGUGGCACAGCUCCUGGAACCUAGUCCCACAGCUUCAUCAGCAUGGAUGUGGGAUCUGUGCUGAGCCAGGGUUGGUAGGGUGUCUUUUCUGGGGCAGCUCCUGCAUUGUGAUCCAACCAUUGUUCCUAGGUGCAAAGCCUGAAUCUCUAUCCCUCCUAGAGUCUAUGAGCUAAUAUCCUUUAAUAAAUACAUUCUCUGCAUAAACUACCUAGGUUAGAUUCUGAUGUUUGCAACUACAAAACCAUGACUGAUAAAGGAGGCAAGAGUAGAUGCUUGGAGACAAGCAGGUUAUUGCACUAGUUCAGAUGAGAUAUGUUAGUGACUUGGAUUGGGGCAGUGAAAUUGGGAAUUAAAAGCAUAUAAAAUAUAUUUUAGAGGUAGCCUGGCAGGAUAAGUUGGUGAUUAGAUGAGGUAAAAGAAUAUGUUAAGAAUGAUUUCCAGGAUUCUGACAGCAGCAAGUAAUGCAGAUGCCAUUUACUGGAUUAAAUACUGAGCAGGAAAAGGAAGAGUGCAGUUGAACUAAAUAACGUUCUUAUAGACAACAAAGGAAUGCCAGAUAUGCCCACAAGACAGAUAAAAAUGGAAUGUCAUUAUAAAAUGAACUGAAAGAAAUAAUUUUAAGUCAUGGAAAAUUGAAAAAAAUGACAAAUUAUAAUUUGAAAAACUGAAAAGUGCGAAAAAUUUUCUGAAAUGGAGAAAUAAUAGGAAGAUAUGAAAAUAUUGCUGGCAGAGUUCAGGAAAGAAUAAGAAACUUAUAAGGUGCCACAGACUACUUCAUAAGGGAGAUUGAAGAUGGAGGAAAAUUAAAAUAACAGAAACAACAGAUAAAAAUGAUUUGGAAAAAGUGAUGGAUAUAAAAAUUAGGCACAGAUUAUUUAACAUACAUAUUGUAGAAGCCCUUAAAGAAGACAACCAAAGCAAUAAAACAGAACAAAUUCUAAAAACUAUAAUUCAAGAAACAUCUUCUGAAAGAAAACUCACAUAUGUAUAUGAAGAGGAAGCUCAAUUUGAAAGAAGGGAGGAAAGGAAAAAAACAAGUGUGAGUACAGAGAAGACACAGAUACCAGAAUCAAAUAGACCUGGGUUUACAUCCAGACUCUGGCAACUAAUGAAUAGGAAUAUAUUCCCAAACCAUUGUUGCACCAUUUCAGUCUGAGCUGUCUGGUCUGGAAAUGGAAAAGGAGUUUUUCCUGGACAAAGAUGACUGGAGCUAAACAAAGAAAAAAAAAAAUCUCAUGAACUAAAAAAAAAUUUAUCAGGUCUUUCAAAAGAUCCAGAACUAUUGGACGUCUUUUCUUUAAAGAAGUGAAAAAUAUUAGCAUUGCUGUUUGUGGGUGAGUAUCUUUCUUCAUUUUCAUCUACUUUUGAUCUUUUGGAUUUUGAAAGCAUAUCCGCUGAGUGACAUCGUUCCACUGUAUACGUUUUUGCUCGAGACUGACCAGAUCUAUCAGACGAAUGGGCUCUACGAAGAUAUCGAGAAUGUGGCCUCUCUUCUGCCUCUUGGAUUACUCUUCCCCUUCCACUAUUACUGGUUCCUUGUUCUUGAUUUCCCCACUGAUUAUAAAAGCUGCUUCCAUCUCCUGAAGGAGAAAAAUCACUUGAAUUUUUAUUCUUUGGAAAUACAGUCAUUUUAUUUGGGAGUGGCUGAUCAAUCAAAAGUCGUCUUCUGUCAAAUAAACUACCACUUAUACUGGUACUGGAAGAAGCCGUGAUUGCAGUAGAAAUUGUGGCAUGUCCACUGUCAAUUGAGUCUUCUACAGUUCCUGAAUCUUUACUUUUUGUUGAAGCAUUUCGGGACAUAAAAGGAUGGUCUAAUACUGAAGACAGACUUAAACGAUCUGCUGGAUUUCUACGAAGUAACUGGUGAAUAAGGUCCUUGG